AAGCACUCACUUAUGAGACCAGCAAGAAAAUCCUUCUUACCCAAAUUACAAAAUUUAGCAAUGAUUCAAUUCAAGAGUGCUUAGAACAAGAGAGAGAUGAGGAUUUGAUUAAGCUCUGCCCCCUUUACAAAUUUGGUAUGAUUUUGAUUGAGUCAUACUUCACUUGUCUUCUUUACCAAAGUUUAAAUAGAUUAGUAUGAUUAUAUAGUGGAGAACUACAGGAACACAUAAUAAGCUUUCAUGAUUGGUUAGUAACAAUUUUUUUAGAUAAAGCAAAAAAAAAAAAAAGUUAAGUAUGAUUAAGUGUUUAUAAUUAAUGGGAUUCGCUUAGCAACAAAAGGGAUUUUGGAGUUAGUGAAUUAAGCAGUACAGACAACGUUUAUCUUACUGGAAAGUAUAGAGCAAAAAAGUAUUUUACAAGUGCUUGAUUAUUGGUCAUUACUCAUUGGUCGAAAAUUUUUAUAUGUGACAUGUGAAUAUAUAUAAAUAUAUACACAGUAUUGAGGAAGAGAAUCUAGCUUUAUUAUAUGGCUUGUUGGAAGAGGCACAUCAAAAUAUGUAGUCCAAAACAUAGGGGACUAAAUAUGCAUCCUCAACCCUUAGAUAUAUAGACAUAUAGUUUAAUUGAAGAGAAGGCAAGGCACAUGAUUAGGAUGUAAUAAGUUAUUUAAUUAAAGGAGCACCAAACAAAGCUCUUCUAAGAUGUUGCUACAAGACAUUUGCUUCUCCUGAUGGAAACAAGUGAGUUGGCAAGUCCUUUGGAAAAAAAAAAGAAAGAAAGAAAGUGGGUUUAAGAUGAAGAUAAAAAGACAGCCCAUCAACAGCAACAUGUGCCCUUUUCUUUAUUUUUAGUUUAAACUUUAAAGGGUGUCUUGGAACACCUAAUAUUCUUCAUUCACAAACCACCUUUGAUUUCCUCAAGACACCAUCUUCAUCUUUCUUCCUUACUACCAUCAUCAGAAUGGCUAGUGAUGGACCAAGUUGGGCUGAUCAAUGGGGGACCGGGGGAAUUGGUGCAAUGGAAGAUGAAGACAAUGCCAAAAAAGAGAGCGAUGCAAACAAGAAGGGAGAAGGCAAAGCUGGAUUAACAAAAGCCAAAGCUGCAGCACUGGCAGGAGCACAAAAGAUCAAAAGUGGCACAUCCAACGGCUUCAAAUGGAUCAAGAAUCAGUGCCAGAAAAAAAGCACCACCAACACCAAUCCCAAAUAAACUGUUUUCUACACUGGCUUUCUACUCAUUUUCUCAAAUAGAAAACUUUGUUAUGCUUUUGUGUUUAACUAAAUUAAAUGGCAAUCUCCUAAUUGUUUGUAGAA